rnacentral:rRNA from 1 species
GUGAGUAACACGUAGAUGACGUACCCUCAAGACGGGGAUAACGGAUGGAAACAUGCGCUAAUACCGGAUGACCUUACGAUGUCAGAAUGGUAAGGAAAGCUACGGCGCUUGAGGAGCGGUCGGCGGCCCAUCAGCUAGUUGGUAGGGUAAAGGCCUACCAAGGCGAAGACGGGUAGGGGGUGUGAGAGCACGGCCCCCCACAAUGGGACUGAGACACGGCCCAUACUCCUACGGGAGGCAGCAGCAGGGAAUAUUGCACAAUGGACGGAAGUCUGAUGCAGCGACGCCGCGUGAGUGAAGAAGGCCUUCGGGUUGUAAAACUCUUUUGAGGGGGAAGAGCGAGGACGGUACCCCUGGAAUAAGCGUCGGCUAACUACGUGCCAGCAGCCGCGGUAAGACGUAGGACGCGAGCGUUAUCCGGAUUUACUGGGCGUAAAGCGUCUGUAGGCGGAUGUGUAAGUUGGGCGUGAAAGCUCCGGGCUUAACCCGGAGAGGCCGUUCAAUACUGCAUAACUUGAGGGUGUCAGAGGGGAGCGGAAUUCCCGGUGUAGCGGUAAAAUGCGCAGAGAUCGGGAGGAACACCAGUGGCGGAGGCGGUUCCCGGGGGCACACCUGACGCUGAGAGACGAAAGCUAGGGGAGCGAACAGGAUUAGAGACCCUGGUAGUCCUAGCCCUAAACGAUGAAUGCUAGGUGUGGGAUCGAAUGGUUCCGUGCCGGAGCGAACGCGAUAAGCAUUCCGCCUGGGGAGUACGGCCGCAAGGUUAAAACUCAAACGAAUUGACGGGGCGCCGCACAAGCAACGGAGCGUGUGGUUUAAUUGCGAUGCUACACGAAGAACCUUACCUGGGUUUGACAUGUAGGUGGUAGUGAAUCGAAAGGUGAACGACCCUUCGGGGAGCCUACACAGGUGCUGCAUGGCGGUGGUCAGUUCGUGCCGUGAGGUGUCGGGUUAAGUCCCGUAACGAGCGCAACCCUUGUUCCUAGUUACAAGUGUCUAGGGGGACUGCCGGCGGAAAGCCGGAGGAAGGUGGGGAUGACGUCAAGUCAGCAUGGCCCUUAUAUCCAGGGCUACACACACGCUACAAUGGUCGGUACAAAGGGCAGCGAAACCGCGAGGCGGAGCGAAUCCGAGAAAAGCCGAUCGUAGUUCGGAUAGCAGGCUG